GUUCACCCUGAGCAGGUCACCAGUCCAUCAGAGGGCCACAUACAGAGAAACAAACCACUCACACCUACGGGAAAAUUAGAAGCUCCAUAGAAACUUGACUGCAUGUCUGCGAGGAAGUACAUGGGGAGAACCCAUGCAGACACAGGCAGAACAAGCAGAACUCCACACUUACUCCCACACACUAAAAAAUCUAAUGACACUGCACCUUAAACCUUAUUUGAACUCUACCUCGUCAAGGGUGCAGACACUCAGGCAAUGCUGCAGCAAUAGAUAGACUCAGAUGCUCACAAGAUUUUAAUCCAAUACCAAAUUUUUUAAACAACAUUUAUUUAGUUACUAUUCAGGCAGAUGAACAAAUAAAAAUGAAAUACAUGAUGCAGCUUUCAAAAUAAACAUUUUAUCUAUUUAAACAGAAACUGUAUCUACAAGGGUUAAAUCUCAAAUUAUUCAGAAUAAGAUUCACACUGUUUGAUUAAUUGCUUUCCACAGCAAUGAAACGUCCCGAUUAUCCACGGGCAGUGUGCCUGCUCGCUGUUUGCGUUAUGACCCACUUCUACCUCCAAUUUCGAAAUACUUAGGCAAUGUAGGGCAGCAGUUAUGCAGCUCUAAAGCACUCAGCCAGCCAAACAAUGACACACAGUAACGCAGCGUCGUCGCAGAGUAUUUUAUCAAGGCAAUGAUUUGUUCCAGCAGGUACUGAGCCUGCAGGGACCAAAACAGAUGGAGAUUCGCGGAGAGCGGCGACAGUUUCUGUGGAGUUAGCAGCGCAUUGUUUGGCAGAGUGAAGCAAUGCAAGGGUCGAGGAAACACCCCACAAAACCAGGACAAAAAAAGAACCUGAAGAGCUGAUCCAGGUGUUCCACAGCUGGCUGGGCUCUGUUUCUGUGCCACCAAUCCCAGCAGUAUGUGAGAAAACAAGCCGUUUUCCGAGGUUUCCAGGAGCUCCUCUGAGUCUCCACCAGUCCCCCAUCCUCUCCCUUUCCCAACCUCUACCUGCUCCACUCCUCAUCCACCCACUGCUAAUAAAGCCCUGCUAGUUUUCACCCUGUGGCUCCAGGCUCAGUUUACUGGUCCAACCCUGUAGUUCAAGUAAACCUUUGGUCUGACUCCAGAUUUCAAAUUGUGGUGUAUAUCCCUUUAAAUGUAGAGUGGGUGAUGUGUGGCUCCCACUGUGAAGCAACCUUCAUGCUGACACAAAGCUGUCAACAAAAGGUGAUUCUGGGUUAUUUCAUAUGCUCUUGUUUACUACAUAUUGCUGUGUUUAUUCCAUCAUUACUUCAAUAUCUUCAGUUUUAAUGUACAAUGUUAAAAAUAAAAAAGAAACACAGGAGAUAAACAGAAGCUUUUUUCUUAUCAUUUGUAAAAGACUAUGACCAAAUGUAACCAGCAUGUGAAUUGUGAUGUGCAGCAUUUAACUUCACAGGUUUGCAGUAUUUCACAUAGCACAACUGUUUUAUAUGUCUUUAUUAAUAUUCAAUAUCAAAUGUUCUUUUCAAGCAGCACUGAGAGUAGGAUGCUGUGUAAAUCUUUCCACCCCAAACGAUCUGCUCAUGCUGUGUUGCCAUAGAAGCCUGAUCCGACGCAUAAUUGCUAAUGGGCUCAUUAGUGAGGUGGGAGAUACAGUAUGUGAGAUUGGAAGGAGAAAUGGACAGCGUCGUGAUACAGCUUCCUUUGAAAACUGGGCUUUAGCAGUGUACUCAGACGCUCUUUGAGGUGUUAGCAUUGCAUGGGCUGGCAUGAGGUUAAUAAGACUACAAUGGUUGAAGUCAUAAGACUGCCCUUAUUUUAUUAUUCAAAAUAGAUAAGUGUAAAAAAGGAGGAAUCUAUUUGUCGUUAAUCUUUUUUAAUUUCACAUUAUUGCCGGUUUAUUUGUAUCUAAGUCACUGCAAGACAUCGGUACAGAUUUAAGUAUAAAGGACACAGUGCUGAGGACAACAUGUGUGUCGAUUGUGGACUAGAGAUGUGCAUAAAAAGGCUUUCAUGAACAGAGAAUUUUGUUUUGACGUAAACAAUAUUUCAUGGAGCUUUCAGUUGUCUUAACAAUGGACUUCGGCUGCUUAGUGAAACAGAGCGUACAUGAAAACCUGUGCUGGGAAUUCAAAACAGCACAUUAAUGUUAGAUUGUGUUUUCACGAUUUAUGUCUUACACAUGCAGUUCGUUUGGAGAAAUUCAUUUCAGACCAUUAGCCUCUUAAUGCUUAUAAACGGCUGAAUUUGUUCAACUCGGUGUUACGGAGCAGGCAGAAUGAAAAACAGCCCGAUGGAGCCGUGCUGAUAUUUAGCCCGGACACUUUUACAGCAUGACAUUUCAUUUCUUAUGUCGUCGACGUCGACUGUUACGUUACUGAUGCAAGGACAUAAUAGAGUCAGAGUACAGACACGUGCGUGGCUGAAAGGGGUCAGUGGUUAAUUAUUUGACAUUUUGGAUAAUAAGAACAAAAACAAUAACUGGACAGACAAAGACAAAAGAAUUAAUUUAAAGGUUAGAUGCCUCGGGGGUUCUUCUAUGCUUUCAUCUCAUUUCUAAUUUGUUUAGAUGUUGUUUAAUGCUAGCCGUUUACUGCAGCACAUAAGACAUCAUGAAACCAACCCAAUGGAGGGAAUAUUUUCCUGGUUAAGUUGUGGUUGCAGCUUUUUGCUGCCUCAGAAAGAGAUAUGUAGGGAAUUAUUGACUAUAUUGACUGUUUUAAUUGGUCAGGCCAGAUCCUGAGGUCAGUGGUGUAGAUUUCAUCUCUUCUGUACUGUGUUUUAAAGUACGACCUGUAAUAUUAUUGCGUGUAUUUGCUUUCUUCCUGACAAGUAUUUUACUUUAGGGUAAUUCCUUCUGGUGGCUUUUGAGAUCACUAUGACCUUGAUAACUUUUGUACCAACUAUUAAUAAGGUUCCCACACGCCAGAGAAUUCACAUUUCAUGCCCAAAAUGACUAAUCUAAUAAUCUAAUAAAUCAGAGGGUAAUGAACUAGAACAAGACUGACAAAGGCUGCAAGUGCAGCAAUAACAGGAUAAUGAAAAACUCCAAGAUCACCAAAACAUAAAGUUUGGUUAUCAAGUUACAACAUACGGAAUAACACGAGAUACGAAAUAUGAAGAUACAAGAAUGAACUUACGAAGCUUUAACUUAAAUCUGUGAACAAUCAUGUAUAUUGUUACCGGUACAAAUCUUAUACCCAUUACUGUGCAAUAACCCUGCAAUGACCUCAUACUCACUCUAACUGUACUGUACUGCUUUGUACUGUGCCAACACAAACUGUUCUGUACCUGUAUUCUUGCUCAUCUGUACUGCUGUUGUGAGAGGUAAUUUCCCCACUGCGGGACUAUUAAAGGUUUUCUUAUUCUUAUUCUUAUUCUUAUUCUUAAAAUGGUGCAAAUAGGUCAAACGUGCAAAUGGGAAACAGGAAAUGCCAUCAGAGGUGUGGCCCAGGUGAAACACAAAUAAAAACACAACAAGAACAAAAGCACCGCCACAGACCUAAGUGGGGCAUUGUCAUUUAGGUCAGAAUAGUUAAUGACAUUUCAGGACAGACAACUUAAAGCACUGCUUAUUCUCUGACAAACCCAAAGAUGGACUCUAUGUGAAAGAGUUAACAGCUAACAACUGUAGACGGCUCUGAAGGAAUAAACAGAUUCACACGUAGGUCUCUGGUGGAGGUUGGGGGGUGGUUCCUUCGGAUUCAGGCCACACGUCCGUCAGCAAAGUUGUGGUGACUCAUGCUGUUAUACCAAGCCUACGAAUCUAUCCCUUUGCUGCAUGCCAGCUUUAUCUGUUUCUGCCUUUCCCUUUCAAUUCCUCUUUGCUCCUGUCACACACACAGAUUUACAGACAAACUGCCCCGCCUCUGUGCUGCAAGGCAAAGAGCUGGAACACACUAUUCUUCUGUGCCACCAAUCUGUGCCCUCAUUUUAAACAUAUCUCCUGCCUAAUUCAUCCAGUUAUGUAACAGACAAUUAUACAACCAAUCCGGUGCACUCCUCUAAGACCGGUCUCACAAGGGCACUCCAAGCACAGCAGUGAGCAGGGUAGAGGCGAUGGGGAAGAGAGGACGAAAUGUGUAAGUAAUUUUAAUAAAGAGAUGGGAUACAGUUAGGAGCUAUCAUGGGCUAAUGAUAGGGGAUGAAUAACAGGGGGAGGGAAGGAGCAGGUGUGAAAUUGUCAAUUAGGAUUUUCUUCCCGCGGUGACUGGGGGGAAUUUAAUAAGCCAAAGGCAAGAGCAGAGCACUUCUACGAUAUACGCAGAUCACACAGCGUCCCGGUGUGAGCCGGGGCUCUACAAGCGGAGGGCAAACAGCAGAUUGUAAGAUCAGCAGAAACCGGUUAGGUGGUGAUGGAGAGGCUGUUUCUAGGCCUCCGCCCUGAUGACACACAUCCUUCAGUCACACUGAUGUUACAGGAAUUUGUUCAUGUUUGGCACGAGUAUCUACUUGGACUCAAAGUUUGAAAAAUUUGAUCAAAGUUAAAAGGUCAUCGUGAUCUGGGAUUCUUACCUUGCUUGUGAUAUCACAGGAAUGCCUUAAUGGGUUUUCCUUAAAUUUGGGAAUUCAGCUCAAGCAUGAAAUGAUCUUUGAUGGUCAACAGUCAAAAGGUCAAAGGUCCAGUCACUACAACCAGCCAAGCCUGUCAUUGUGGUGUAAUAUAAAUACCAUUUGGUAACAUCAUAAUAUAAUUACUUCAUAAUAUUUGGUAAGAAUAAGAAUAAGAAAACCUUUAAUAGUCCCGCACAACUGUCUUAUAACAAUGAACAUAAGGUUGAAGAUAGUUUUAUUCCACAAAGCCACUUUCUGAAUGUAAAUAUGUUAUUAAAAUAUGAGUAUGGAAACAUUUAAAUUACAACAUUUCUCUUUGGGCAUGAAAUAACAAAAGGUUAUUUGUAGUAUAUUAUGUAGGAUUUGUUAUCCACCUCUACAGUAUGUAUUUAUUUUUUGCAUGUACUGACACUUUUCUGGCCAGUAGCAUGAGUUUAUUCUACAUCACAGCUGGUGAAGCUGACAAAUAGCUGUUAAUGUUUCUGCUUGUAAUAUAAUCAAUAAUGAAAGAGAAUUUACCUUUAAAUGUGCAGCAUUUUGCAGCAGCUCUGCUGUGGGCAGUGUGUUUGAUUGUAUCAGCUGUCAAUAACAUGAUUGCUGGGGAAAUAUUUUAUUCAUUAUGACUCAUGACUUGCUACAUGUGACAGAUUGUGCACCUAUGUGGAAACUGCACAUUAGUUACUGUGUAAAGACCUGUCAGAUAUGUAAAUGGAGUCAAUCACCUGACAGGACAAUUAGCUCAGCAGUCCUUUGUUUCCAGUAUUUAUUUCCUCAACUGCAAACUUAAGUUUUACUAAAAGAUAUACAAAAACCUAAAGCCUUAGGGUCUGUUAACAUGACAGGAGAGUGGUUUUCCUAUUCACCUGCUAGAGAAAUGUGUCUGUUGGUUUGAAUGGUUUGGUGAGCGGUUCAGCAUAAGAAAAACAAAAGCCUUCCUUUAUCAGCAUUCUGCUUGGGGAAGAGGAGGGACCUGGAUGUCCUACACAGAUCAGAGGACUGCUUUUUACAUUGAUGGCUCAGAGUUUCACCCACAAGAGGGGCUAACGGUCCUGAAAACAUGUGAUCUUCUGUAUUACUCCUGCUACUAUAAUUCUACAGCCAUUAUAACUACUGCUGCUACAGUAGCUAUAACACAAGUUGCUGCUGUUAUAAUGUUGUUUAUGCAGUCAAGUUGUAAGUAAAGAUGAAGCACAAUAACAGCUGGAGCCCAUUGGUCCAUGCAGAUACAUGUCGGGACUGUUGGGAUAACACAGUCUACAUCAUUCCCACCCUAAAUUAAACAGCUGUGGUGCACCACACUCCAAUCAUGUACUGGCCACCAUUUCCAAAGAAGGUCACCAUGCCAGCUGUUAAAACACAGUCACACAUCUGGCUCUUUGAGCAAAACACAGCCCACUGGUGGAAUAACUUAAAACAAAAUGUAAUAGAUUACAGGCCAGGGAGAGAGACUACACUGAACUUGACCCUAGUGGUUGUUCUGAUGGAGAGGCUUUUUCACCAUACAGUAACUGUACUACUUUGAUUAGGAGCUGGACUGGACAGCUUAUGUCUCAAAACAUUAAAAGACACAGAUGCUUAAGAUUUAGAUCAUCUUUAAUUAAUAGUUUAUUAGCUACAAUCCACAGUGAACUGCUUGGAAAUUGUAACAUCAGGAACUAAGGGAAUUAUUUAGAGCCUGUGACCAUAGAGGACAUAUGGUUGCAACGCUCUGUGACUGUUUUGUUCAGACCAAAAGCUGGAACGUGAACAAACUGCCAGAGCUGCAGCCAAAAGUUGUGUACCUGUACUUUGUGGUUCAAAAAUGGAAAGUGUUUAAAAAAUCAAACAAUUUCUCCGGAUUUGUCCAAUUUGACUCAGUCAAGAGGGGAUUAAAGUUUGUUGGCUACUUUCUAAAUCUCAUCUAUCUGAUGCUUGGUAUUCUGAUGUAACAGAAAUGCCAUUUGGAGACUUAAUCAAAUUUGGCCCAACUACCCACUUACACUGAGGACUUCUCUCAUUAAUGCUGUAGCUCCAAAGCUUGCUGCUUGGAGGGAACGUGGCACAAACAUCCAUUUGGGUCAUAAAUCCAUUUAUUACAAUGAAGAUAUUUGUGAAUGGUACUGGCUUCCAUUUUGCCCCUAAUGCAUGGGACAGUUCAUAUGAGCCCAAUUAGUUCCUAGGAGACUCACCAAUGCCUACUCAUACAUGGCAUGAUCAUGAGAUAUGAUUUGUUCACCACAAAAUGUAAAAGAAACAACAUAUUACGCAAAAUUGAAUUUGGGGCACUUCAGAACUGUGAUGUAGGUUUCUGUUUUUAAAGGUCAUUGUUUUUCAUGCUGUAUUUGUGUGAGCUGUGCGCUGUGUAGGCAUUUUUUUUGUUUUUUUUUUUAGAUCUGAUGUUUGUGUCUGUUCACAUUAUUGUUAAAAUGUAAAAUAUGUCUGAGUCCAGACCAGGCCAUGGAGCAGGACUAUCGUUUGGUCUCAAAAAGAUGGAGGAGGGGGGAGCAGUCCUUCACCAACUCUGUUUUCAGUGGAGGCGGACAGCUGUUGACCUCAACUGCGGAUGUUAUCAGACAGUGGAAGGAGUACUUUGAGGACCUCCUCAGUGCCUCCAACACGCCUCCUGCUGAGGAAGCAGAGACAGGGGACUCAGUGUUGGACUUGUCCAUCUGUCCUGAGUGCCUGAAGUCUCUCGAUGUUGUGGAGCUGUCUUGGGUGACACGACUCUGCAACAUUGAGUGAAUGCUGGGAACAGUUCCUCUGGACUGAACAACCGGUGUGGUUGGAUGGAUGGAUGGAUGGAUGGAUGGAUGGAUGGAUGGAUGGAUGGAUGGAUGGAUGGAUGGAUGGAUGGAUGGAUGGAUGGAUGGAUGGAUGGUGAUGAUAGACUGCCUUCAAAAAUACGAUAUGGACAAGAAAAUCAUGUUUGGUUCUGGCUCUAGAGUAAACGUAGCAUACCAACACACUUCUGCAGCAUUACCAGCGAUCCAUGUUAGUUUCCUGUUACCACUCCUGUUUUCUAUAAAUAGAGGCCAUCACAAGUUCACAACCAUUGCUCAGAGGCAUUAUACUCUCUAUCGACACCAAGACGAGCCAUUUCAACAGAUAGACCUCAUUUGAGCUCAUAUUGUCUUUAUUCAUGAAUUUGUGGCUUUGAAUGACAUUGUACAUUAUUUACCCAGCAAGGUUUGCCUCCGUUUACACAUGGAUCUAGAAGUUGAGGUGUACCUUCCUUUAUUGUUAUGACUCAAAUUCCUGGACUCAAAUGACAUGGAUGAAGCUAUAUAUAUAUAUACUACAAGCUAUAUACUGUAGCACUUCAAUGUUUCCAAAUAAUAUCUGGCAUCUUAGGUGAAUCCUCCCAGUGAUAAUAGUAGUUUAGUUGUUUUUUCCAACAGAGAGAAUUCUCACCUUUUGAUGAGCUGCCCAAAGAAACACAUCUCUCCUACAGCAAAGGGCACCAACAAAAAACUUGAACAAGGAGAAAAGAUUUCAGAUAAAACAGCCCAACAACAUGAAGCACUUCCGUUUACUUAUUUAUGUGAGGUCCUAAUAAACAGAGUGCCCUUUCCUGCCUCUGGCUCAAUCAAUGGCACCGGGAGGAGCUUUGAUUUAUGUUUCCCAGGAUCUCUGCUCCAGGAGAACCCCCAGCUGUUCCACUGACACCAUGGGAGAUGUGAUGAUGUAAUUAGCCAAUGCAUAAAAGGCAGAAGAUGGAGCAAGGUGUGGGGGUACAGAUUCCUGCUGAUGCUCCCACGCAGCCCCGUCAUAUUUCAGCUUGUACAAAGAGCCCCGCUCAGUGUCCUCCUCUCAGCAUAAUUAAAUGAGACACAAGUCGCAGUGGAGGAGUGGGCAGUAACUGCAUCAGUGUGGCGCUGCACCACAGUCUACAGGACAGAGUUCAUGUUUCACGUUUAAUCUAAACAUGCUCAUUUACACGUCUGUUAGGGCAGAUCAACAGCUCCUACACUGGAAUAUGAACAGAUGGAAAGUAAGUAUGACAGACGAAGCCAGUCUACACUUCACCUAUAUUUCUGUGAAUAAUGAAAAUGAGGACUGUUACACAUAUUUAGAAAUUAUGCUGUUCAUACAUAGAUAGUCAUAGAUUAAUUUCUUGCUCAUUAGGAGUCAUUAAGGCAUCUGAUGAUGAGGAUGUUUAUUAUUAUUGCCGGUAUUGUUUUUUGUUGUUGUUGAUGUUAUUGAACAAAAAAAUUAAUAAACAACAAUUUUAAGAGGUGACACCAAAUUCAAUUUAGACUUUAUUAAAAUAUAUUCUGAUGAAUGACAAAUGAUACUGUUGUGACAAAUUGAUAUACUGCUAUUAAUAUAUUAAAUCAUCACUAACAAAAUGAUGUCAGGAAUGUUGUUUUAUGGACUGAUAAGUUCAAAAUGAAUAUAAGUGGGUUCUAAUCACAUAACAUGAGGUGUAGCUCACCUCUGCAGUGAGGUGACCUCAUCAACAGGCCCUCUAAUUGAUGAUAUAAGUCAUAAUGCAGGCAGCAGGAUGAAUUCACAGUGUAAACACAGUCUUGGCCUGAUGACAGUCUCCUCUCAUUCAUUUCCUCCUCAUUUCUCACAGAAACAUGUAAUGUUUGUAAUCAAUGUAAUCAAUGUUUGCAUCGCAUUAUGUAUAUCACACUGGACAAAUGAAUGCAAUGCCAACAGCUGUUUAACAAAGCUUUGCAUUCUUUUGUUUAAUUCCUGGGAGCGGUUUUACUUAUUCUGCUCAUUGUACAAUACUCUCUGCUAAAAGCCCAUUUCAUGAAACUACUACUGGACUUAAUGAUGGUUGAAAAGUGGAAAUGUAACAGCGAAUAUGAGACAGAGAGGAAGAGAAAUCAUCACCAUGGUGUACAGAAAGUAAUCUGCCCCUCCCCCUCCACAGCUCCACUCCACUCCGCUGUGGGCUCACACAUUCACACACAAAAAGGCAGUGCUCAGCACUCAACCACUUCAGGGCAGCGUUUAACCCCAGCGUUAUUACUAAAGCUGAGGUAGGACAGACGCACGGCAGUCGAGGUGAAUGAGUGGGAUGAGGCUCAUGCAUGUUGAAUGUGAAGAAUUGGACUGUUUAAUCGCGCUGAUCUACCAGUUUGCCAGUAUAUUCUGCUACUGGCCUGACUUGUGCUACCAUGCAACCACAGAUAUGUGGAUACAAGAAAAGAGACCCAAUAUGAUGGUUAGUGGCUAAUCCAGAUACUGCUAGGAGUCGCUUUAAUCUCAAGAGCCAGAGCUUUCCCUCAUUUGGCCUUUUUUCAGCAGUGUUGAACAAACAUUCUUCGCUGUAAACAGAUUUACAUCAUCCCAUCUCAUCCCUCCGCAAGACGGCUACUAAGCAUAUUCCCCAAAAAAUAUUGUGACAUUCCGACCUAGGAAAAAAUAUCACCUCGUGGUGCUGACAAAAAUGUCAUCUUGAGCAAAUGCAGAAGCAUUUUCCAGUCAGCAGCAUCAGUAAAAAUGUACCAGUCAGUAUCGCUCUUCAAUAACUGUAUAUGUGCCCAUUUCUCCAUCCAUCCGUCUUCUGCUGUAUCUCAUUGAAAGACAGAAACCAACUCCGCCCGUUGGUGACUUGACAGCGUAAUCACUUCUCUUUCCACAUUUCCUGCAGAGCGUACAUUUCUAUGCUGCACCGUUCCUGCAACCCUGAGCUCCGCUGUUGGUGACAUGCCAGUUUCUGCCAACACCACUUGUGUUCCUGCACUGGUGGAUCUUCAUAAGCUCUACAUGUGGCAUGGAGGCCAGGAAGUGGUUGAAUCCCAGUCAUCAUAUGUCACAAAUGUCUUUAUUUUUUACUAGAGGUACCAACUGAUCUUAGUAAUCUUUGUUGUAAAUUGAGGGAAUAAUUAGUAAUAUUACCUUUUAUGUUAUUAUUAACAUUUUGCUUUAGGGAUGGAGUAACUGUGGAAUGAUUGGGGGAACACUAAACAUUGGGGCCCUGACCACCCAUCACCACCCAGUAGUUCCACCUCUGUUUCCAUAGACAGCUGAAGUUCAGUUAAAGUUGAUGGUACCUGUUGCACAGUAGCAGCAGUCUGUGCAGUGUGUCUUACAUACAGUGGCAUUGUGCAGCCUACCCGCAGCUACAGCCUCAUAUAACUGUGUGUGAAUGUGGCUUAUUGUUAGGCUGAAAUAAUUAUAGCAACGAAGAAGAAAUGUGAUGUGUACAUUUUGUCUAUUAUACAGUUUUUGCUUUUGUAUUUGAGUCCUACUAAUCUCUCAGCUAAAUGUAGGUCAGCUUAGUGAAAACCACACACAUCCCUGGUCCUCACACUCCGUUGCCCUGCUUCCUUUCUAACUACUAGACCUCCGUCACAGGGGUGGAGAACGUGGAUACAAACUGAAAUGGCAUCCAUAGUGUCAGACGACACUAUUACCUCUCAGUUGUUUAUUGCUGAAAUGACAUCUCGCAUUAAUGCCAAAUGUACAUUCAUGAAUAGGUUUUAUCUAUAAAAUACUAUUGAUGCUCAUUAGAAGACCAUGUAACACACUGUAUGACAGAGUAAAACCCCUGUGGAACAAAACAAAUAAAACAGGCCAAGUGAUCUGCUGACCAUGGCAGUAGGCAGCGGAAUAGGUUAAUAUACAGUAAAUAAAUAAGACAAUCUUUCUUAUACUCUGGACACAGCUAGUGGUACCCAGAGGUAUUGAUCAUCUUCUGUAACUAUGGAGAGAAGACGUUUCUGACAAGAUUGUUUGAAAAUGUAUAGUGGUGCCGAGUGCAGCUGCCUCAGUCUAUUAGCAGCCCACAAGUUUUACUGGCAGCAGAUGCGUAAGAGUCUGUAAGAGUAUAUGUUUCCAUAAAAUUAGGGAAGAACAUUGAGUUUCAUCUCUAACUGACCUGAUUCCCUGGCCUGCUGCUUCUGUUACAUCUCUAAUAGGAGGAAAUAGCUUGUGGUGAGGAGAGGCUCCAGCCCUUCUGUGGGAGUUUAAUUCAAUCACAGCUCCGGUAAAAAAUGAAUUAAAAACUCUCAUU